GUUUCCAACUUCGCCCCAGGUGUGUCUGUUUAAAACACAUGUAGCAGUAUAGAAAAAGUUGUCUUGUUGCGCCUGCUGACCACUAGGGCGGCAGUAUAUAAGUGCGGCCUUCCUUCUCGCGCUCCCACUGCUGCAUCAUUUCCGGGUCAGGUGUCUGUCUGUGCAGAGCAGCGACCGAGUGCUCCGUGUGGCGUUCUCCAUUUUUAUUUCCUGGUUCCCUUGAGCGGUGGUAGAUGUCUGCUGUCGUGUGGGUCUUUCUCUCCCUCCCUCUCGCUGUGCAGGUUUGACUUUGAAAACAGGUAUGCUACCUUAAAUUUAGCCCCCGAAAACCUUGAUUAAUGUAGCUUAGCCAUGCUAAUUUUAUGUUUAUUGACAGGGAAUGCUCAUCAGCUGGCCGAAGUCUACCGGUGGUGAUUGAGUGGCUGCAGGCUGGUGGUGGUGCUGGUGACGUGGGUGGUGGUGGUCUUCCUUCUCGUGUGCCGUGUUAACUUGGAUUUGGUGAUCUCACUGUGUGUCUGGGUGAACCCUUUUUCUUUAAUUUAGUUUUAUUAGUUCUUCUUCCCCUUCACCUGCCCUUCCCACCAGUAGGCCUCAGCCCCUGAUUAGGUUUCUUUCCUUUUUCUUAUUUGUGAUCAAUGCUAUAUUUUAUAUUUAUACAGUUUUAUUGAAUAAACUAUUUUUGUAAUCUGGGAACCACGUGUUUUUGCCCAUUGAGUGGAACGAACCUGUGUGCUUUAAAGGUCUUGGGCCUAUCCCAAGUGGCGUUGUCGGAAAUCUUAAAAUCUCAGAGUGUCAUCAAACCCAUUCGAUUUGCCACACUUGGCGUUGUCGGCAGGAUUCACUCUUCUAAGGGCAAAGACGUG